rnacentral:tRNA from 1 species
GAGGACGUGGUGGAAUGGCAGACACGCUACUUUGAGGGGGUAGUGAGCUACGCUCGUGUGGGUUCAAAUCCCAUCGUCCUCACCA